CAUCCGAUGUUUUUGUGCAGCGCCGAUGUAUGUAGCAUCUCGAUUCUCAAUUCUCAAAUACCCAAACGUUUCAAACUUUGAAGCCUUAGCUUCACGGUUGCAAGCGUCAAUUUAUCUUCCUUUCCGCAAAUAAAACUGGAAUCUGUAUGAAUUCUAUCAAAUAGAUACACACAUAUGUGCGCCUGGAUAAGUAAUCUUAAUCGCAGUGCUACACUGCUGCUGCUGCUGGCGGCGCUUGCUCUUUUCUCCAGUCACAUCGUAGAUUGUGGCGGCGACGCCGGCGGUGGAGGAUCGGAGUUGCAAUGGCAGACCCUAACCAAAUUGAACUACUCCUCUCAGAUUAUGCUCCAUCCUCACCUCCUUCUCCUCGUAACCGUCCCAUGGUCAGGUGAGUCAAGGUCCCUUAUGAAGGAAUUGGCUCAUAUGGUUGCAACUGAUGAAGUGAGGUUCGGUACCUUGAAGCUUAUGGUCUUGUACAGAAAUGUAGAGAGGAUGUUGGCUGAUGCACUUGGUGUUAGUGAUGGAAUAACAGUCUUUUACUACCAUAAUACUCUCUCUUACAAAUAUUCGGGAAGACUUCGAGGGCAAAACAUAUUAUCCUCUGUGCAUUAUGUCAUGUCGCUUUCUCCUAAUGAACUACCUCUUAAAUCUUUAACCACUCCAGAAGAAUUGAGUGAUUUCCUUCAUUCAACUGAUAAGGCUAUAGUUGUCAUGGACUUUUGUGGAUGGACUGCGAGACUGCUGGCUGCAAACAACAGUAUGACUGAAAGUGAUUUGGGAAAAGGUUAUUUUGGAGCAGACUUCAAGAAAGGGAACAAUGUAACUGUUGCUGCAGAAGAGAAGGCUAACAGGAAGGGUAUGGAAGAUGACAAGCUCAGUUGUGGUAGUGACAGUGGAUUUAGUGGAAUAUCUUGGCCUAGUCAGUUCACCUCUGUAAAUCAUAGUCUUGUGGAGGCCGAAAAUUCGACAUUUAGUGCUGGAGACUCCUGUACUUUGUAUGAGUUCCAGCAAUUUGAAAUGUUCUUGCAGAAGUUGAUUACAGUUGCUAGAGAGUUCUUCUUACCUCCUGAAAGGGUCAAAUUUUCUGUGGUUCAAGAAAGAUCACUUCUUUUGUUGCUAGAUAUUGAAGAGCCAGGUUCAGGUUUGAUGACUGUUCAUUUUCCUGGAUGUCCGAGUUGUUCAAAGGUCCUUAAAGAAGUUGAUGAUUUAAGAACAGUCCUACAAGCCCAGGCCUCGCCAGUUUUAGAGCUGGAAGAUGAUCCACAAGGAGUUGAGGCUAGUUUACCUGAAAAAAGCCCAACAAUGCUUCUUUUUGUUGAUAGGUCAUCUAACUCCAUGAAAAUAAGGCUAGAGAGUCAGAAAGCUCUCAAUGCUUUAAGAGAGCUAGCAGAACGCACUGAGAUGUUAAAUCUGAAUUGUGGACAAUCCACUCUCAGGAAUGGCAAGACGUCAAUUGAAACAAAUCGAGCAUCAUGGAGUAUCCCCAAACAUCCGAGAAUUAAGCCUUUUGCAGCAUCACAGAAAGUAAUUCUCAACGACAAGAUGUCUAUAAUAUUAAUGAAUGAGGGUCAACAAGUUACCUUAGAAAAUUUAGUUCCUGAUUUGCAAGGAAGCUCUGUGCAUGAGAUCUUAACUUACGCACUCAAGCGACAGAAGGAGCUAAAAUUAAGUUCACUUGCCAAGGAUGCAGGAUUUCAACUUUUAUCCAAAGAUUUUGACAUCGAAGUUGUAGAAUCUUUACCAUCCCAUACGGAGGAUCCGUCUAAACGAGUUUCAGUAGAAACACCUAUGUGUAAUGGUGAAAGUACUGAUAUAGACAAGAAGCACAUUCCAGCUUUUAGUUCCAGUAAAUUGCAUGAGGAGUUACCUGAUCAGUCUGAUGUUAGUGAGGAUCUGUCUAAUCGAGUUUCAGGCGAAACACCGGUUAGUGACCAUCUGGAAACUGCUGAUAUAUAUAAGCAAAUUCCAGCUGUUAGUUCCGGUAAAUUGCAUGACGAGCUACCUGAUCCUUCUGAUGUCAAAUAUAUUUUGCAGGAAGGCAAAGAAGAUUUUUUAGAUAAAAGUAGCCUAUCACCAGUAGAGCAUGAAAGUGGUCAUCAUAGUACAGGUAUGACAACUGAUAGCACUGAAAGAUGGAAUGUCAGGGAGAAAAGAUAUUCAGGAUUCGAUGAAAAUGCAGAAAAAGGUUUUACUGGUUCUUUUUACUUUUUGGAUGGUCAAUACAGAUUACUUGAAACUCUAACUGGAGGAACAAAGAUUCCAUCAGUUGUCAUAGUUGACCCAAUUUCUCAGAAACACUAUGUCUUACCCGAGCAGUCAGUUUUCAGCUACUCUUCGCUAUAUGCGUUUGUUAGUGAUUUCCUUAGUGGAAAGCUCCCUCCAUAUCAACAAUCAGCUGCUAUAGUUCCUAGCUCGAGAGAUUCUCAAAGACCACCAUUUGUUAAUCUGGAUUUUCAUGAGACGGAUUCUAUUCCUCUAGUUACUACCAAUACUUUUGCUGAGCUGGUUCUUGGUAGUAAAUCUGAUCGCAAGAACUCUGGCUGUCCUUGGGAUAGAAAUGUGUUGGUUCUGUUCAGCAAUAGUUGGUGUGGGUUUUGCCAGAGGAUGGAACUCAUUGUUCGUGAAGUGUACAGAGCAGUCAAUAGUUAUGCCAAUAUAAAGAUAAAUAGUACGAGGAAGGAGAAACUAAUGCUGACAGAAUAUGUUGGAGAUGCCGCAUUGAACCUUCCCCUUAUUUAUAUGAUGGAUUGCACACUAAACGAUUGCAGCUUGAUCGUAAAACCAAUACUGCAGCACUCAGUGGUUUUCCUUGUGGGUUUGAGGUUUGCUGGUUUUACUGUUGAUUAUCCUCUAGCACAACAUGAUGUUUUCUGUUUGCUCAUGCAAUGAGAUUUACUCCAUUAGUACAGUUCCCACCCGAUAAUAUUCUGGAAAUCCAUUGCUGAAUCUUUUGAAACAACUCAGAGUCCGGAGGAGUUUAAAUGUUAAAUAUGACAAGUGAUGGUACUACUUUCAUGUUCCUAAGGUUGCUGAUGCAGGAAGCUUGUGUAUGCUGGUACACAUAAAGCAGAUGCUUACAUAUUCCUUUCUCUAGGUCUGUAGGCCCAGAUGACCAGGUACCUUCCCCAUUAGACCAGGCAACUGGAUCUGGACCGAGUAAUGUGUUUUUAGCUCUAGUUCAUGCCUUACCCACUGAAGCUUUAGAAAAUGGUUUAAGGCUGAUCUCGAUACCUAGUCCUAGCUAAUUACCCAACUAUCCAACUAAACUUGACCUAAUCCACUCAAUCCCCUCUGCUUGCCAUACAUAUGUAGUAGACAAAGGCAGCCUUUUCUAUAUAACCCUCCUCUCAAUGGAACCUAGAACCUCCUAUCCAACUCAAUCUCCAGGGAAUGGAGAGAGAUUUCCUUUGUGGCAGCCUUACUAAUUCGUAUUCGUUUUUGAAGACAAGAGAUCCUUGCCUACUGAAUGGGAUUCUCGAACAAUGGAAAGACCCCGUAUUUUUGUCAUAACUUCUUCUUUCAAAAAGCAAGGAAAACCACCGCCUCAGUAUACCAUACCACAACCAUUAUGGCUGGGCCAAAGCCUCUCUUGAUCAGGACUUAAAAAACAUCGAUUAGUGUGAUACGCUGCCACACCAGGUCACAAACGCCGUUAGUCAGUAAUGCUGUGAGGUGGGUCUCAGCUGGGCUAAUGGUUAGUGGCUUGGCAGUCCUGCAGUUGGGGGGAGAGAUGUGACAAUGAAGCUCCCUGAUUAGAUCUGGUCCUGUCUGUAGGAGAAGGAAGUUUAUCCACUUUUGCUGUUAUUCCCAGCGGAAAGGAAGAACAACACUGUGUCUUAUGAAGGAGAGAUUGCAGUAUCUGAUAUCAUCAAGUUUUUGGCUGCUCAUGGGAGUCAUGUUCUAGA